rnacentral:rRNA from 1 species
CCUACGGGUGGCAGCAGUGGGGAAUAUUGGGCAAUGGGCGCAAGCCUGACCCAGCAACGCCGCGUGAAGGAAGAAGGCCCUCGGGUUGUAAACUUCUUUUAUUCGGGAAGAAACAAAUGACGGUACCGAAUGAAUAAGCCACGGCGAACUAAGUGCCAGCGGCCGCGGUAAUACGUAGGUGGCAAGCGUUAUCCGGAUUUACUGGGUGUAAAGGGCGUGUAGGCGGGAUGGUAAGUCAGACGUGAAAUUACAGGGCUCAACCCUGGAAUUGCGUUUGAAACUGUUAGUCUUGAGUGAUGGAGAGGCAGGCGGAAUUCGUGGUGUAGCGGUGAAAUGCGUAGAUAUACGGAGGAACACCAGUGGCGAAGGCGG